AUUGAACGCUGGCGGCAGGCUUGACACAUGCAAGUCGAGCGGAGUGAUGGUGCUUGCACUAUCACUUAGCGGCGGACGGGUGAGUAAUGCUUAGGAAUCUGCCUAUUAGUGGGGGACAACAUCUCGAAAGGGAUGCUAAUACCGCAUACGUCCUACGGGAGAAAGCAGGGGAUCACUUGUGACCUUGCGCUAAUAGAUGUGCCUAAGUCGGAUUAGCUAGUUGGUGGGGUAAAGGCCUACCAAGGCGACGAUCUGUAGCGGGUCUGAGAGGAUGAUCCGCCACACUGGGACUGAGACACGGCCCAGACUCCUACGGGAGGCAGCAGUGGGGAAUAUUGGACAAUGGGGGGAACCCUGAUCCAGCCAUGCCGCGUGUGUGAAGAAGGCCUUAUGGUUGUAAAGCACUUUAAGCGAGGAGGAGGCUCUUUUGGUUAAUACCCAAGAUGAGUGGACGUUACUCGCAGAAUAAGCACCGGCUAACUCUGUGCCAGCCGCCGCAGUAA
rnacentral:rRNA from 1 species